AUAUGAAUUAGAAUCUAUUCUCAUUCAUGGGAUUUCCAUUUAAAUAACAGAUAUGGAGGAAAGACCCAAAACUGCUUCAAAUGAUUUAGGUCUCAGUCUGUAAAGUGUGACUGAUUGAUUACAGGACCAAAAAGUCCUGGGAAACAACCACGAUACUAUUUUGAGUCUUGAAAAAUUUUAGAGCACAGGCUUUUAUGUCUAAGGAAAAUGAUCAACCAUAAGUUGCCAGAGCUAUAAGACCUGAGUGUAGAGUAAAUGUGAAUGAAUAGAACCUAAGUGACAGCCUGGGUCAGCUGGACCUGUCAAGGAUCCCAUAGGAGCUUGUUUCUGCCUCCUCUUCAGGUCAUACAGUGUUUUUAUGGCAGCAUGUUAUUAAAAAAGAAAAACCUGGGGCCAGCCCAGUGGAGUAGUGGUUAAGUUCACGUGUUUCCCUUCAGUGGCCUGAGGUUUGCCAGUUGGGAUCCCAGGCACAGACCUAUGCACCAUUCAUCAAGCCAUGCUAUGUCAGGCUUCCCACAUAUAAGCUAGAGGAAGAUGGGCACGGAUGUCAGCUCAGGGCCAAUCUUCCUCAGCAAAAAGAGGAGGACUGGCAGCAGAUGUUUACUCAGGGCUAAUCUUCCUCAAAAAAAAAAAAAAAGUCAUGGCAAAAGGAAGAAACAUAAAUUGUAGAAAUAAGUCCCGAUGUAUCUUUAAAAUUACAAUAAAUGUGCACAGUUUAAAAAAAAGAAAAAGAAAGAAAAAGUUGGUCUACAAGUUUCCUGAAGGUGUCAGAGUAAGAAUGAGUCUCAAGCGAAACGAACACGCAGAAGCAGGGGGAGCUGCAAAUGCCGCUUCUAGAGAGGACUGCCUGUGCUCGCAGGCAUUCUGUUUCCUCUGCUGCAUCAUCUGCGUCCCCCUCCCUCCCUUUCCUCACCUGAGAAGAUGGUUUUCUGUCUUGGACUGCAGAUUUGUUAUCGGUAUGUGAUACUUACAGCUGUGGCACCCAUCUUGAGACGAGGAGGUCAGUCACCCUAAGAAGAUACACCAGCGUGCUGAGGAAGACAUGGUAGAAACAUAGAAGAAUUUAGGUCCUCAGUGAUAUCGUUGAGCUGAUGAAUUCACCAACCUACAACUGUUCUAACCCUGGAUUUCUUUUUAUGUGAGAUAAUAUAUUUCCUUGUUUAAACCAUUUGGAUUUGGCCUUUUAUUAUCUCUGCCUGAAAUGUUCUAACCAAUAAACCUCUUUAUUCUCAUA
rnacentral:lncRNA from 1 species